rnacentral:rRNA from 1 species
UAGGGAAUCUUCGGCAAUGGGGGCAACCCUGACCGAGCAACGCCGCGUGAGUGAAGAAGGUUUUCGGAUCGUAAAGCUCUGUUGUAAGUCAAGAACGAGCGUGAGAGUGGAAAGUUCACACUGUGACGGUAGCUUACCAGAAAGGGACGGCUAACUACGUGCCAGCAGCCGCGGUAAUACGUAGGUCCCGAGCGUUGUCCGGAUUUAUUGGGCGUAAAGCGAGCGCAGGCGGUUUGAUAAGUCUGAAGUUAAAGGCUGUGGCUCAACCAUAGUUCGCUUUGGAAACUGUCAAACUUGAGUGCAGAAGGGGAGAGUGGAAUUCCAUGUGUAGCGGUGAAAUGCGUAGAUAUAUGGAGGAACACCGGUGGCGAAAGCGGCUCUCUGGUCUGUAACUGACGCUGAGGCUCGAAAGCGUGGGGAGCGAACAGGAUUAGAUACCCUGGUAGUCCACGCCGUAAACGAUGAGUGCUAGGUGUUGGAUCCUUUCCGGGAUUCAGUGCCGCAGCUAACGCAUUAAGCACUCCGCCUGGGGAGUACGACCGCAAGGUUG